UGGGGAAUAUUGGACAAUGGGCGCAAGCCUGAUCCAGCCAUGCCGCGUGAGUGAUGAAGGCCCUAGGGUUGUAAAGCUCUCUCACCGGUGAAGAUAAUGACGGUAACCGGAGAAGAAGCCCCGGCUAACUUCGUGCCAGCAGCCGCGGUAACACGAAGGGGGCUAGCGUUGUUCGGAUUUACUGGGCGUAAAGCGCACGUAGGCGGACUAUUAAGUCAGGGGUGAAAUCCCGGGGCUCAACCCCGGAACUGCCUUUGAUACUGGUAGUCUUGAGUUCGAGAGAGGUGAGUGGAAUUCCGAGUGUAGAGGUGAAAUUCGUAGAUAUUCGGAGGAACACCAGUGGCGAAGGCGGCUCACUGGCUCGAUACUGACGCUGAGGUGCGAAAGCGUGGGGAGCAAACAGG
rnacentral:rRNA from 1 species